rnacentral:rRNA from 1 species
AUUGAACGCUGGCGGCAGGCUUAACACAUGCAAGUCGAGCGGGGAAGGUUGCUUCGGUAACUGACCUAGCGGCGGACGGGUGAGUAAUGCUUAGGAAUCUGCCUAUUAGUGGGGGACCACGUUCCGAAAGGAACGCUAAUACCGCAUACGCCCUACGGGGGAAAGCAGGGGAUCUUCGGACCUUGCGCUAAUAGAUGAGCCUAAGUCGGAUUAGCUAGUUGGUGGGGUAAAGGCCUACCAAGGCGACGAUCUGUAGCGGGUCUGAGAGGAUGAUCCGCCACACUGGGACUGAGACACGGCCCAGACUCCUACGGGAGGCAGCAGUGGGGAAUAUUGGACAAUGGGCGGAAGCCUGAUCCAGCCAUGCCGCGUGUGUGAAGAAGGCCUUUUGGUUGUAAAGCACUUUAAGCGAGGAGGAGGCUCCUUUAGUUAAUACCUAAAGAGAGUGGACGUUACUCGCAGAAUAAGCACCGGCUAACUCUGUGCCAGCCGCCGCAGUAACAC